rnacentral:rRNA from 1 species
CAUGCAAGUCGAACGAAGCACUUUAUUUGAUUUCUUCGGAAUGAAGAUUUUGUGACUGAGUGGCGGACGGGUGAGUAACGCGUGGGUAACCUGCCUCAUACAGGGGGAUAACAGUUGGAAACGACUGCUAAUACCGCAUAAGCGCACAGGGUCGCAUGACCUGGUGUGAAAAACUCCGGUGGUAUGAGAUGGACCCGCGUCUGAUUAGCCAGUUGGUGGGGUAACGGCCUACCAAAGCGACGAUCAGUAGCCGACCUGAGAGGGUGACCGGCCACAUUGGGACUGAGACACGGCCCAAACUCCUACGGGAGGCAGCAGUGGGGAAUAUUGCACAAUGGGGGAAACCCUGAUGCAGCGACGCCGCGUGAGCGAAGAAGUAUUUCGGUAUGUAAAGCUCUAUCAGCAGGGAAGAAGAAAUGACGGUACCUGACUAAGAAGCACCGGCUAAAUACGUGCCAGCAGCCGCGGUAAUACGUAUGGUGCAAGCGUUAUCCGGAUUUACUGGGUGUAAAGGGAGCGCAGGCGGUACGGCAAGUCUGAUGUGAAAGCCCGGGGCUCAACCCCGGUACUGCAUUGGAAACUGUCGGACUAGAGUGUCGGAGGGGUAAGUGGAAUUCCUAGUGUAGCGGUGAAAUGCGUAGAUAUUAGG